AUGGAGGUAGAGCAAUGGCUUCACAUGGCCAACGGCGACGGAGAGAACAGCUACGCCACCAACUCCAGACUCCAAAGGGUGCUCGAUCGAUUAAUUAAUUUGUUACUCCCGCCCGAGCAGGAGAAGGCCAUGCUUGAGACCAGGCCGGUGCUCCAGGGCGCCGUGGUGGAGCUGUACAGGUCACUGCCGGACAAGAGCACCAUGGUCGUCGCCGACCUAGGCUGCUCGUCAGGGCCGAACACGCUGCUGCUUGUGUCGGAGGUCAUCGUUCUUCCUCAACGACCUGCCGGGGAACGACUUCAACCUCGUGUUCAGGUCGCUGGAUCGGCUGCAGGAGCUCACCGCCGAUAG
rnacentral:rRNA from 1 species